AGAGUUUGAUCCUGGCUCAGGACGAACGCUGGCGGCGCGCCUAACACAUGCAAGUCGAACGAGAGAUGAGGAGCUUGCUCUUCAAAUCGAGUGGCGAACGGGUGAGUAACGCGUGAGGAACCUGCCUCAAAGAGGGGGACAACAGUUGGAGACGACUGCUAAUACCGCAUAAGCCCACGGCUCGGCAUCGAGCAGAGGGAAAAGGAGCAAUCCGCUUUGAGAUGGCCUCGCGUCCGAUUAGCUAGUUGGUGAGGUAACGGCCCACCAAGGCGACGAUCGGUAGCCGGACUGAGAGGUUGAGCGGCCACAUUGGGACUGAGACACGGCCCAGACUCCUACGGGAGGCAGCAGUGGGGAAUAUUGCACAAUGGGGGAAACCCUGAUGCAGCGACGCCGCGUGGAGGAAGAAGGUCUUCGGAUUGUAAACUCCUGUUGUUGAGGAAGAUAAUGACGGUACUCAACAAGGAAGUGACGGCUAACUACGUGCCAGCAGCCGCGGUAGAACGUAGGUCACAAGCGUUGUCCGGAAUUACUGGGUGUAAAGGGAGCGCAGGCGGGAGAACAAGUUGGAAGUGAAAUCCAUGGGCUCAACCCAUGAACUGCUUUCAAAACUGUUUUUCUUGAGUAGUGCAGAGGUAGGCGGAAUUCCCGGUGUAGCGGUGGAAUGCGUAGAUAUCGGGAGGAACACCAGUGGCGAAGGCGGCCUACUGGGCACCAACUGACGCUGAGGCUCGAAAGUGUGGGUAGCAAACAGGAUUAGAUACCCUGGUAGUCCACACCGUAAACGAUGAUUACUAGGUGUUGGAGGAUUGACCCCUUCAGUGCCGCAGUUAACACAAUAAGUAAUCCACCUGGGGAGUACGACCGCAAGGUUGAAACUCAAAGGAAUUGACGGGGGCCCGCACAAGCAGUGGAGUAUGUGGUUUAAUUCGACGCAACGCGAAGAACCUUACCAAGUCUUGACAUCCCUUGACGAUGCUGGAAACAGUAUUUCUCUUCGGAGCAAGGAGACAGGUGGUGCAUGGUUGUCGUCAGCUCGUGUCGUGAGAUGUUGGGUUAAGUCCCGCAACGAGCGCAACCCUUAUGGUCAGUUACUACGCAAGAGGACUCUGGCCAGACUGCCGUUGACAAAACGGAGGAAGGUGGGGAUGACGUCAAAUCAUCAUGCCCUUUAUGACUUGGGCUACACACGUACUACAAUGGCGUUAAACAAAGAGAAGCAAGACCGCGAGGUGGAGCAAAACUCAGAAACAACGUCCCAGUUCGGACUGCAGGCUGCAACUCGCCUGCACGAAGUCGGAAUUGCUAGUAAUCGUGGAUCAGCAUGCCACGGUGAAUACGUUCCCGGGCCUUGUACACACCG
rnacentral:rRNA from 1 species